rnacentral:rRNA from 1 species
CCUACGUGUGGCAGCAGUGAGGAAUAUUGGUCAAUGGACGGAAGUCUGAACCAGCCAUGCCGCGUGCAGGAAGACGGCUCUAUGAGUUGUAAACUGCUUUUGUACAAGGGUAAACCUGAAUACGUGUAUUCAGCUGAAAGUACUGUACGAAUAAGGAUCGGCUAACUCCGUGCCAGCAGCCGCGGUAAUACGGAGGAUCCAAGCGUUAUCCGGAUUUAUUGGGUUUAAAGGGUGCGUAGGCGGUUUUAUAAGUUAGAGGUGAAAAUUCGGGGCUCAACUCCGGACGUGCCUCUAAUACUGUAUGACUAGAGAAUAGAUGCGGUAGGCGGAAUGUAUGGUGUAGCGGUGAAAUGCGUAGAGAUCAUACAGAACACCGAUUGCGAAGGCAGCUUACCAAACUAUAUCUGACGUUGAGGCACGAAAGCGUGGGGAGCAAACAGGAUUAGAUACCCUAGUAGUC